UGGCGGACGGGUGAGUAACACGUGAGAAUUUGCCUUUAGGAGGGGGAUAACAGAGUGAAAACGCUGCUAAUACCCCAUAUGCUUUCGAGUGAAAUGGAUUUAUUCGCCUAAAGAGAAGCUCGCGGCUGAUUAGCUUGUUGGUAAGGUAAUGGCUUACCAAGGCGACGAUCAGUAUCUGGUUUGAGAGGACGAUCAGACACACUGGAACCGAGACACGGUCCAGACUCCUACGGGAGGCAGCAGUGGGGAAUUUUCCGCAAUGGGCGAAAGCCUGACGGAGCAAUACCGCGUGAGGGAUGACUGCCUAUGGGUUGUAAACCUCUUUUCUCAGGGAGGAAAUCAAUGACGUUACCUGAGGAAUAAGCAUCGGCUAACUCCGUGCCAGCAGCCGCGGUAAGACGGAGGAUGCAAGUGUUAUCCGGAAUCACUGGGCGUAAAGCGUCUGCAGGUGGCUUAACAAGUCAACUGUUAAAUCUUGAAGCU
rnacentral:rRNA from 1 species